rnacentral:rRNA from 1 species
UACGAUCUUUAAUUGGUCUAAGAAGAUGACCAGUCACACUGGAACUGAGACACGGUCCAGACUCUUACGGGAGGCAGCAGUGGGGAAUAUUGGACAAUGGGCGAAAGCCUGAUCCAGCGACGCCGCGUGGAUGAUGAAGGCCUUCGGGUUGUAAAGUCCUUUCGGUAGGGAAGAUAAUGACGGUACCUACAAAAGAAGCUCCGGCUAACUUCGUGCCAGCAGCCGCGGUAAUACGAAGGGAGCUAGCGUUACUCGGAAUCAUUGGGCGUAAAGCGUGCGUAGGCGGUCUUGUAAGUUAGAAGUGAAAUCCUGGGGCUCAACCCUAGAACUGCUUUUAAUACUGCUCGACUAGAAUACUUGAGGGGACAGUAGAAUUCCUAGUGUAGGGGUGAAAUCCGUAGAUAUUAGGAGGAAUACCAGUGGCGAAAGCGACUGUCUGGCAAGUUAUUGACGCUGUUGCACGAAAGCGUGGGGAGCAAACAGGAUUAGAUACCCUGGUAGUCCACGCCAUAAACGAUGAGUGCUAGAUAUCAGAUUUAUAUUUGGUGUCGUAGCUAACGCGUUAAGCACUCCGCCUGGGAAGUACGGUCGCAAGAUUAAAACUCAAAGGAAUUGACG